GCGCGUGACCCGCUAUGGCGGGCACGGCCGACCAUUGCAGCAUCGAAUGUGGUCAGCCCACGCUUCCUGCUUCGGCAAACACUCUACUGGGUUCGGAGAGCGGCGAGUAGUGAGACAUCGAAAGCCGCGCCGAC
rnacentral:ncRNA from 1 species